UACAGAGGGUGCGAGCGUUGUCCGGAAUCACUGGGCGUAAAGGGCGCGUAGGCGGCUUGAUAAGGUUGCGGUGAAAGCCCGGGGCUCAACCCCGGGUCGGCCGUGGCAACUGUCGAGCUGGAGCGCUGUAGAGGCGGGUGGAAUUCCGGGUGUAGCGGUGGAAUGCGUAGAGAUCCGGAAGAACACCGGUGGCGAAGGCGGCCUGCUGGGCAGUGGCUGACGCUGAGGCGCGACAGCGUGGGGAGCAAACAGG
rnacentral:rRNA from 1 species